CCCGCACAAGCGGUGGAGCAUGUGGUUUAAUUCGAUGCAACGCGAAGAACCUUACCUGGUCUUGACAUCCACAGAACUUUCCAGAGAUGGAUUGGUGCCUUCGGGAACUGUGAGACAGGUGCUGCAUGGCUGUCGUCAGCUCGUGUUGUGAAAUGUUGGGUUAAGUCCCGCAACGAGCGCAACCCUUAUCCUUUGUUGCCAGCGGUCCGGCCGGGAACUCAAAGGAGACUGCCAGUGAUAAACUGGAGGAAGGUGGGAUGACGUCAAGUCAUCAUGGCCCUUACGACCAGGGCUACACACGUGCUACAAUGGCGCAUACAAAGAGAAGCGACCUCGCGAGAGCAAGCGGACCUCAUAAAGUGCGUCGUAGUCCGGAUUGGAGUCUGCAACUCGACUCCAUGAAGUCGGAAUCGCUAGUAAUCGUGGAUCAGAAUGCCACGGUGAAUACGUUCCCGGGCCUU
rnacentral:rRNA from 1 species